rnacentral:tRNA from 1 species
GGAAGGGGACAGGGCCCGGUGGCCCUGCAGGUCUUCAAAACCUGUCUGUCGCCGUUACGGCGACCGGGGGGUUCGACUCCCUCCCCCUUCC